GCCGAAGUGGCGGAAUGGCAGACGCGCCGGACUCAAAAUCCGGUACCCUCAAAGGUGUGUGGGUUCAAGUCCCACCUUCGGUACUA
rnacentral:tRNA from 2 species